rnacentral:snoRNA from 1 species
UCGUCUCUCACCGCGCUCGAUCUGGCAAAGUACCUCUUUUUACAGAUCUUGAGCUGGCUUUCCACCAACAGACUCUUCGGAGUAUGCUGGUGUGAAUACGAGACAAGAUCAAACACAUCUUCGGCGGUUUUUGAGUACGAAUCCAGGCUUUUGCUUCUACAGCCCGGCUUUUUCGUAAUUUACCAGCUCGAUACAA